rnacentral:rRNA from 1 species
UACGUAGGGGGCUAGCGUUGUCCGGAAUCAUUGGGCGUAAAGAGCGUGUAGGCGGCCCGGUAAGUCCGCUGUAAAAGUCAAAGGCUCAACCUUUGAAUGUCAGUGGAUACUGCCGGGCUAGAGUCCGGAAGAGGCGAGUGGAAUUCCUGGUGUAGCGGUGAAAUGCGCAGAUAUCAGGAGGAACACCGGUGGCGAAGGCGGGUCUCUGGGCCGUAACUGACGCUGAGGAGCGAAAGCGUGGGGAGCGAACAGG